AUUUACAACCAAAUAACCGGAAAUGUGGCCAAUCUUAUCAGAUCUCAGAAGCUAAACAGGGUUGGGCCUGAAUAGGGCUUGGGUGGGAGACCAUCGUGCACAAGUCAGGCUCUCAUAGGCC
rnacentral:rRNA from 1 species